CUUCAUUAUUCAUUAUCAUUAUUAUUAUAUUAUAUAAAUAUCACAAUAUUUGUGUAGGUACACAAUAAUUAUAUGCACAUUAAUAUUACUCUAUAAUAUUAAUUACUUUGAUGUGAAAUUGAUACAAUAUGUUUUUAAUCGUUAUAGUGGCAAUACUGAAGUUACACUGCUGCAUUUUUUUUUAAAUUCAUGGACCACCUCUUGCAGAAUAACCUCUUUAAAAUAAAACUCCAAAAAAGUGACUCUAGCUCUUUUUCCAUGAACUAAAACUAUGAUCCCUGUCUCUCUGUGCCUCUUUAUGGAAUAAAUGUAUUAUAUCAAUGUAUAAAAGUAAAUUGUAUAAGUGUCGGACUGUGAUGGACAUAAGUGGGAAUUAUCGGAUCAUUAUACAAAUAUUGUAAUGUAUCUAUUGUAUUGUGCAACGGAUUUCCUAAAAAAAUAUAUCAAAUAUCUUAACUGUAGUAAAAUUUUUUUUCAGGAUAAAAUUUCAAAAUAACAAUAAUAUAUAGAGCAUGGCUAAUCAUCUGAAAGUUUUGCCUAUCAUCAUCCAGAAAUGUUUUUGUAGUCACAAAAUAAUAAUUAUAUUGAAUUUUGCGAAUGCGAUUUUAGAAAAUUGAAGUAAAAUAUACUAUAAUAUUACGAUAUCAUGAAAAUAAAAAUAAAAAUAAUUAUAAUGUUAAUUAAAACAUUAAAUUUUUUAAAUGCCUAAUAUAAUAUUAUAUAGUAAGUAUAUUGCAUAAUAUGCAAUUUUGUAGGGAUAAUAUAUGCUAUUAAGGACAGUAUAGAGAUAAUAUUAAAAUAUCAAGUUUCAACUAUGGUUCUACCAAGAUUUUAUUAGCUUAAUUUUGUUUAAUUUAGAUGUGAGACAAACGAGACCAAUUAUAUUUAAACAUGGUUUAACUUAAUGAAACUUAACUGAAUUUUCAAAACAUGUUAGCGCAUUGAUAACUAGAUCCUAUGAGUACUUGGUUAAAAUUUCAAAUCACAUUUUUAGCCACGUUCCUCUAUAUAUUUUUGGAACUUUGAAUGAUACAACUAUAAUCAUGGGUUUUUUUUAGUUAUUUAAUUAAAUAAAACUUAUAUUUUAGUUUUUAACUUUACAUUAUACUAGGUAUAUAACUGAAAAAAAUGAAUUUCAGUUUUAUUUUAUGAUAUAAUUAGCUAGCUAGCUAAAUAAUAUGUAGAUAAUUCACGUAAUAUAUGUUUUGAUAUAAUGUACGAGUUGUGUUCCAAAAGUCCCAGAACUGUUUGAGUUGUGCACCAAUGGACCGUCGAAAAGUAGAAGGAUUGAUUUUACUGGCUUUUAUGCUUCUGAACUCAUAGUAUAUAUAUGUUUUUGUAGAUUCUAAAUAACCUUCUUCGUUUUGAUGUAACCGAUGAUUUUGUAAAAUACGUUUUCGUGUUUGGCGAUUUUUUAAUGAAUUUUGAAAAAAAGAAACUUGACGAGCUUUUUUUGGGGAAGAGGGGGGCGCUUGAGAUAAUUUUUUAUUCGCUGCAAAUUUGAAUGAUAGAACCUUAGUUGGCAGAGAAAUACAAACUUCCACAUGGUUCAUGACAGCAAAGUUUUUCACGAGCAUGUUAAUGAAAUUUCGAGUGUCAAAAACAAAACCAAGUUCAGAUUUGUGAGGAACAUUUAAGCAUGGUAAAUACUAAAUGACAAUAAUUACUUUUUUGAGAUGGUAUAAUAAUAAUAAACCAUACCCUUAGUCGUGAAAAUGGAAGGUUUAUUCCUCUUCAAUGUUGAAAGAAAUGCCAAUAAAAUUCGGUUAAGAUGCUCUUCUUUAGAAUUCAUUAAAAUUCGCCAACCACAAAAUACGUAUUUUACAAAAUCACCGGUAACAUCAAAACGAAGAAGGAUAUAGAGAGAUACACAACUUACGUGAUCAGAAGUUACAGAAUUCAGUAUUACCAAAUCCUACUAAUUUUCGGCGCUCUCUCUGCGCGCAAUUCAAAUAGUCCGAGAACUUUUUGAACAUUUCUCGUAUAAAUCAUUCUAAAGUAUAUACCUAAGUAUAUAUUUUUUUACCUACUUUUCUCAUCAUUUAUUACAUAAUAAUGUUAUUGUUAUUAGGUACAUACGAAUAAUGUUAAUAACUUAACUUAAACUAUAAACCAAUACCAUACUCGACUUUAGAUUGAAGUAGGUAUAUAGUUUGCUUAUAAAAUAACUAUAAAAUAAUUUAGAAUAGUUUUACGCUGCAGUUUACUUACGAUUACUGAAAAUCUGUAUACUUAUAUUAAUGUUAAUUCCUUAUUUACAACUAAUUACUAACUAUAACGAAUUAUAGGUAAAUUAAUACAAACCCAUUUACUGUUG